rnacentral:rRNA from 1 species
GAUGAACGCUAGCGGCAGGCUUAACACAUGCAAGUCGAGGGGUAGAGGAAGCUUGCUUCCUUGAGACCGGCGCACGGGUGCGUAACGCGUAUACAAUCUACCUUUUACAGAGGGAUAGCCCCAGAGAAAUUUGGAUUAAUACCUCAUAGUAUUUUCGAAUCGCAUGGUUUGAUUAUUAAAGUUCCAACGGUAAAAGAUGAGUAUGCGUCCCAUUAGCUAGAUGGUAAGGUAACGGCUUACCAUGGCAAUGAUGGGUAGGGGUCCUGAGAGGGAGAUCCCCCCACACUGGUACUGAGACACGGACCAGACUCCUACGGGAGGCAGCAGUGAGGAAUAUUGGACAAUGGCGCAAGCCUGAUCCAGCCAUGCCGCGUGCAGGAAUAAGGUCCUAUGGAUUGUAAACUGCUUUAUACAGGAAGAAACACACCCUCCGUGAGGGUAC